CGCGGGGUGGAGCAGCCCGGUAGCUCGUCAGGCUCAUAACCUGAAGGUCGUCAGUUCAAAUCUGGCCCGCGCAACCA
rnacentral:tRNA from 1 species